rnacentral:rRNA from 1 species
GCGUAAGCGUGCGUAGGCGGCUUUUUAAGUCGGAUGUGAAAUCCCUGAGCUUAACUUAGGAAUUGCAUUCGAUACUGGAAAGCUAGAGUAUGGGAGAGGAUGGUAGAAUUCCAGGUGUAGCGGUGAAAUGCGUAGAGAUCUGGAGGAAUACCGAUGGCGAAGGCAGCCAUCUGGCCUAAUACUGACGCUGAGGUACGAAAGCAUGGGGAGCAAACAGGAUUAGAUACCCUGGUAGUCCAUGCCGUAAACGAUGUCUACUAGCCGUUGGGGCCUUUGAGGCUUUAGUGGCGCAGCUAACGCGAUAAGUAGACCGCCUGGGGAGUACGGUCGCAAGACUAAAACUCAAAUGAAUUGACGGGGGCCCGCACAAGCGGUGGAGCAUGUGGUUUAAUUCGAUGCAACGCGAAGAACCUUACCUGGCCUUGACAUACUAAGAACUUUCCAGAGAUGGAUUGGUGCCUUCGGGAACUUAGAUACAGGUGCUGCAUGGCUGUCGUCAGCUCGUGUCGUGAGAUGUUGGGUUAAGUCCCGCAACGAGCGCAACCCUUUUCCUUAUUUGCCAGCGGGUUAUGCCGGGAACUUUAAGGAUACUGCCAGUGACAAACUGGAGGAAGGCGGGGACGACGUCAAGUCAUCAUGGCCCUUACGGCCAGGGCUACACACGUGCUACAAUGGUCGGUACAAAGGGUUGCUACCUCGCGAGAGGAUGCUAAUCUCAAAAAGCCGAUCGUAGUCGGGAUCGCAGUCUGUCACUCGACUGCGUGAAGUCGGAAUCGCUAGUAAUCGCGGAUCAGAAUGCCGCGGUGAAUACGUU